UACAAUACAACUAUUUUUAACCCAAAUUUAGAAGACGUUAAACACAUAUUUAAAUAUAAAAUAAAUGCAGCAAAUCCAGUUUGACAACAUUCAAGACUUGCACACGCGACAUGCGUGGUCACGCUCUUCGCGCAUGCGCCGAUGACACUGCUAGCCGUUAUUCCUUCAUCUGUAGCAACAGCGUCGCUUGUUUGAAAACGAGCCCAAGAAAUUGCACUUCUAGUGUCGAAUAGCUAGAAUACCGCGUAUAUGUGUGAUGUUUGUAUAUAUUUGAUAUAAUAAUUUCCAUUUUAAGUAUGUGAAGAGGAUUAUAUGGUGUGAAAAUAAUUUCAACGACCCUGACUGACGUGUGUUGUGGAAACUGGAUAGGAGGGGAAACAAACGGAUCGUGUCUAUCAUUCUGUCUCCACCUGCACUGGUCUCAGCUUCUGUCACAGGCCGCGCAUGGUUGUUCCUGACCAAUAAUUCCUUAUGCUUGAAAGAAUCGUUUUCCUGCUUUUUGCACUAUGGAUAGUGUGGACCUAAAGAGAUUGGUGUAUCAAAA